GGCCGAACCCAUGGCAUAAGGAGGUUCCCAGGCUAGGGAUCGAAUUAGAGCUGUAGUUGCUGCUCUACACCACAGCCACAGCACCGCAGGAUCCAAGCCACGUCUGCAACCUAUACUAUGGCUCACGGCAACAUUGGAUCCUUAACCCACUAAUUGAGGCCAGGGAUCGAACCCAAGUCCUCAUGGAUACUAGUCGGGUUGGUUUACCAUUGAGCUAUGAUGGGAACUCCCAACCCAGGUAAUUUUUGACAAAAGAGCAAAAGCAACUAAACAGAGGAGGGAUAGACUUUCCAAUAAAUAGUGCUGGAAUAACUGAAUACCCAUUAGCAAAAAAAAAAGAAGAAGAACCUUGACCUAAACCUCACAACUUAUGCAAAAUUAUACUCAAAAUGAAUUUUUUUUUUUUUGGUCUUUUUUUGCUAUUUCUUUGGGCAGCUCUCAUGGCAUAUGGAGUAGUUACCAGGGGUUAGGGAUAGGAGGGAGAAAAUGGGUAUGGCUACAAAGAAGUAAAAGAAAGGAGUCUUGUGGUGAUGUGUACAGUUGAAUAUCUUGAUUGUGGUGGUGAGCAUCCAAGGCUUCACACAUCAUAAAAUAGCAUAAGGCCACACAUACACACAUAUGAAUAAGCACAUGUGUAACUGGUGAGAUUUAAUUAAGCUUCCUGGAUUGUCUCAAUGUCCGUUUCUUGACUUUGAUGCUGUACUACAUGUAAAAUGUAAACAUUGGAGAAGGCUGGAAAGAGAGCACAUAGGAUUCCUCUGUACAUUUCUUUGCAAACUUCUAUGACUUUAUAAUUAUUUCAAAAUAAAGAAUUUUUAAAAGCUACUAUGAUUUUAAAAAUUAACUUAUUUAUGAUAAAUAACUUUCUCAGAUAUACUGAAAAAACUUUCAUGUUUGUUAAACCUUCCUGAAUCUAAAACCUGCAAACCUGCAUUCUUCUCUUACCUUUCUUUGUGGUUUUUUGUUUUUUGUUUUUUUGCAUGUUAGGGCCUCACCUGAGGCAUGCGGAAGUUUGAAUCAGAGCUACUGCUGGUGGCCUAUGCCACAGCCACAGCCAUGCGGGAUCCGAGCUGCGUUUGUGAUCUAGACCACAGCUUAUGGCAACACCAGAUCAGUGACUCACUGAACGAGGCCAGGGAUCGAACCCACAUCCUCAAAGAUACUAGUUGGAUUCUAUUCCACUAUGCCACAGUGGGAACUCCACUAUAUAUUCAAUGAACUUAAGAAAACAAAUUCCUUGGAGUUCCCUUGGUGGCUCCUCAUUAACACACCCAACUAUGAGGACAUGGGUUCAAUCGCUGGCCCCCCUCAGUGGGUUAAGGAUCUGGUGUUGCUGUGAGCUGUGGUAUAGGUCACAGACAUGGCUUGGAUCCUACAUUGCUGUGGCUGUGGUGCAGGCCAGCAGAUGCAGCUCCAAUUAGACCCUAGCCUGGGAACUUCCGUGUGCUUCAGAUACAGUCGUAAAAAGACAAAAAAAAAAAAAAAAAAAAAAAAAAGAAG
rnacentral:lncRNA from 1 species